GCUCUUCCCUCCCUAUUUCUUCUCUUUAAGUAUGUUUGUGUGUAUUCAUAUCCGUUUGUGUGUUUGGAUUGAUGGGUAGAUAUGAGAUCUCUUUUUCUUGAUCAAUUCUAUGUUGGUUGCUUUCUAAGUUUUUUUGUUAUAUUUUGUAGUUUUGUUUGUUUAUUUUAUGUGUGAAAGUUAAAAUUGUUUGUUUGUUGGUUGAUGUUUAUGUGAGCUGUUUUUCACGAGUGGGGCUUCAGACUUACCCAUAUCUUGUUUUGUCGACUGGAGACAAAAGAUUGAAUCAUUUUGCAGUAUAUAGUUCAUUUAUCUAUUUAUUUAUUUUUGAAAGCGGAAAAUGUUCUCUUUUUUUUCCCCUUAAGUCUUAUUUGAAGAAAAAAAAAGGGUUUCUAAUUCUCACUCAUUGAUUGGAACUUAUAGUUGCAUCAAGUCAUUGAUGCUAAUGCUGAGCUACUAUAGCUGUAGUUCAGUUCUUCAUUUUCCUUUCUUCAAAUUUUGGAAGGGCCUAAUGACAAAGGGGGGAAAUUUUCCUAAUAUUUGCAUGGUUUUUUAAUUUCCUUUUUUUUUAAACAAUUUUGGCCAAUUUAGUGAGGCAGAACGGAGAUGUGUGCACAAAAACUACAGUAAUCCCUCAUCCUCCUCCCCCCCCCCUAUCUUAAAUGGCAAAAGAAGAAUUAUGAAAAUCAAACUAAUCCUGAUAUUAGUGGCUACUGAAGUCCACGUUGUUUUCAUUUGCACAAUCUUUUCUACAUAUAAAUGCCAUUGCCUAAUUACAUUCCCACCGAAUUUAGGUGGAAGGGUGGAGAAUUAAUUAAUUGUGUUUCAUGCACACAUUUUUAACAUUGGUUGUGUCAUGCGAUGGAGAAUAGUCAAAGGUGCAAGGUGACCAUUUGUUUGUUUGGUAUGGCCCCAUGUGAAAUUUGCAUUGACAAAUUGUGUGAAGUGUUAACGUUUGUCUAGUAAAUAAACUUUAUUAUCAAUUGGAAAUGUUGAGUUUCUUUUUCAGAUUCACUCUCUUGAGCGCAAGAUUUCGCAUCUUGUUGUAAUGUUGUGAUGGGCAAGAGAUAAGCUUUUGGUCGAAUAUGAGAUCUUAAUAGACAGACGAAGCAUGAACGUCUGUCAAAAAAAAAAGAAAAAAAGAACAG
rnacentral:misc_RNA from 1 species